GUGUUGUAUGACAGGAGAGGAGGUUAGCACUCCCCUUGACAAGGAUGGAAAAAGCCCUAGUCUACUGGCCUUCAACAUGGCAUCUUGAAUGUGGUCCAUUCU